UACGUAGGGACCAAGCGUUGUUCGGAUUUACUGGGCGUAAAGGGCGCGUAGGCGGGCAGGUAAGUCCGUGGUGAAAUCUCUGAGCUUAACUCAGAAACUGCCAUGGAUACUAUUUGUCUUGAAUAUUGUGGAGGUAAGCGGAAUAUGUCAUGUAGCGGUGAAAUGCUUAGAUAUGACAUAGAACACCAAUUGCGAAGGCAGCUUACUACACAGUUAUUGACGCUGAGGCACGAAAGCGUGGGGAUCAAACAGG
rnacentral:rRNA from 1 species